rnacentral:rRNA from 1 species
UGGGGGAUAUUGCGCAAUGGGGGCAACCCUGACGCAGCAACGCCGCGUGAAGGAUGAAGGUUUUCGGAUUGUAAACUUCUUUUAUUAAGGACGAAACUUGACGGUACUUAAUGAAUAAGCUCCGGCUAACUACGUGCCAGCAGCCGCGGUAAUACGUAGGGAGCAAGCGUUGUCCGGAUUUACUGGGUGUAAAGGGUGCGUAGGCGGCUUUGCAAGUCAGAUGUGAAAUCUAUGGGCUCAACCCAUAAACUGCAUUUGAAACUGUAGAGCUUGAGUGAAGUAGAGGCAGGCGGAAUUCCCCGUGUAGCGGUGAAAUGCGUAGAGAUGGGGAGGAACACCAGUGGCGAAGGCGGCCUGCUGGGCUUUAACUGACGCUGAGGCACGAAAGCGUGGGUAGCAAACAGGAUUAGAUACCCUGGUAGUCCACGCUGUAAACGAUGAUUACUAGGUGUGGGGGGUCUGACCCCUUCCGUGCCGGAGUUAACACAAUAAGUAAUCCACCUGGGGAGUACGGCCGCAAGGUUGAAACUCAAAGGAAUUGACGGGGGCCCGCACAAGCAGUGGAGUAUGUGGUUUAAUUCGAAGCAACGCGAAGAACCUUACCAGGUCUUGACAUCCAACUAACGAAGUAGAGAUACAUUAGGUGCCCUUCGGGGAAAGUUGAGACAGGUGGUGCAUGGUUGUCGUCAGCUCGUGUCGUGAGAUGUUGGGUUAAGUCCCGCAACGAGCGCAACCCUUGCUAUUAGUUGCUACGCAAGGGCACUCUAAUAGGACUGCCGUUGACAAAACGGAGGAAGGUGGGGACGACGUCAAAUCAUCAUGCCCCUUAUGACCUGGGCUACACACGUACUACAAUGGAUGUUAACAGAGGGAAGCAAGACAGCGAUGUGGAGCAAACCCCUAAAAACAUUCUCAGUUCAGAUUGCAGGCUGCAACCCGCCUGCAUGAAGAUGGAAUUGCUAGUAAUCGCGGAUCAGCAUGCCGCGGUGAAUACGUUCCC